UGGGGAAUUUUGGACAAUGGGCGAAAGCCUGAUCCAGCAAUGCCGCGUGUGUGAAGAAGGCCUUCGGGUUGUAAAGCACUUUUGUCCGGAAAGAAAUCCUUGGCUCUAAUACAGUCGGGGGAUGACGGUACCGGAAGAAUAAGCACCGGCUAACUACGUGCCAGCAGCCGCGGUAAUACGUAGGGUGCAAGCGUUAAUCGGAAUUACUGGGCGUAAAGCGUGCGCAGGCGGUUUGCUAAGACCGAUGUGAAAUCCCCGGGCUCAACCUGGGAACUGCAUUGGUGACUGGCAGGCUAGAGUAUGGCAGAGGGGGGUAGAAUUCCACGUGUAGCAGUGAAAUGCGUAGAGAUGUGGAGGAAUACCGAUGGCGAAGGCAGCCCCCUGGGCCAAUACUGACGCUCAUGCACGAAAGCGUGGGGAGCAAACAGGAUUAGAUACCCUGGUAGUCCACGCCCUAAACGAUGUCAACUAGUUGUUGGGGAUUCAUUUCCUUAGUAACGUAGCUAACGCGUGAAGUUGACCGCCUGGGGAGUACGGGUCGCAAGAUUAAAACUCAAAUGAAUUGACGGGGUCAUAGCUGUUUCCU
rnacentral:rRNA from 1 species